rnacentral:SRP_RNA from 13 species
GCUGGGCAUGGUGGCGCGUGCCUGUAAUCCCAGCUACUCAGGAGGCGGAGGCAGGAGAAUUGCCUGAACCCAGGAGGCGGAGGUUGCAGUGAGCCGAGAUCGUGCCAUUGCACUCCAGCCUGGGCAACAAAAGCGAAACUCCGUCUCAAAAAAAAAAAAAAAAAAAAAAAAUUUCUUUUUUGAGACAGAGUCUCAAUCUGUAACCCUGGCUGGAGUGCAGUGGCAGGAUCUCAGCCCUCUGCAAUCUCCACCUCCCUGGCUAGAGCGAUUCUCCUGCCUCAG